rnacentral:sRNA from 1 species
GCUGGGCGCAGUGGCGCAUGCCUGUAAAUCCAGCAGCCUGGGAAGCCGAGGCAGGAGGAUUGAGUCAAAGCCAGCCUCAGCAACUUAGCAAGACCCUAAACAACUCAGUGAGACCCUGUCUCUA